rnacentral:rRNA from 1 species
UACCGAGGUCUCAAGCGUUGUUCGGAUUCAUUGGGCGUAAAGCGCACGUAGGCGGCUUUCUAAGUCAGGGGUGAAAUCCUGGAGCUCAACUCCAGAACUGCCUUUGAUACUGGAGAGCUUGAGUCCGGAAGAGGUGAGUGGAACUCCGAGUGUAGAGGUGAAAUUCGUAGAUAUUCGGAAGAACACCAGUGGCGAAGGCGGCUCACUGGUCCGGUACUGACGCUGAGGUGCGAAAGCGUGGGGAGCAAACAGG